CUAGAGUUGACUGAUGAAUCUGUUGAUUCAAAAGUGCGACAUGGAUAAAUAUCACAAAUGAUGAAUUGAUUUCUUACUUAUGUUACUAUAUCCUCUUAGUCGCCGCCAUCACAGAUUCAGCACAGCAGAUCGCAGCCACCUCUUCAUUUUAUGUAGUUGUCUUUCUCUCUGUCAGCAGUUCAUGUAGAUCAGCAGGAAAUUUCUGGAGCAGGUUGCAGCUUCCAGCAUCAGUUCUGCCACUCUUUGAGAUAUUAUGAGUUCAUCCACACCUACCAAGUCUGCUCCAGCUACUUUUCAAUGUUAGGAGGAAUUUAAUAACGUUGGAUUGAAUUUGAGUUGUAAUAUAUAUUUGGAUUGAAUUUGGGUUGUAAUUUAUUUUGGAACUUAUUUUGCUGAAGUUUGAUUGAUUUUGGGUUGUAAUUUAUAUGUUGUUGAAGUUAGAUUGAAUUUGGAUUGUAUUUUUGUUGAAGUUGGAUUCAUUUUGAUGUGUUAAAAGCUUGAUAGAAGCUCAAAUUUUGGGUA